UACGAAGGGGGCUAGCGUUGUUCGGAAUCACUGGGCGUAAAGGGCGCGUAGGCGGCCGAUCAAGUCGGGGGUGAAAGCCUGUGGCUCAACCACAGAAUUGCCUUCGAUACUGUUUGGCUUGAGACCGGAAGAGGUAAGUGGAACUGCGAGUGUAGAGGUGAAAUUCGUAGAUAUUAGGAAGAACACCAGUGGCGAAGGCGGGCUCACUGGUCCGGUACUGACGCUGAGGUGGCGAAAAGCGUGGGGAGCAAACAGGG
rnacentral:rRNA from 1 species